rnacentral:rRNA from 1 species
CCUACGGGAGGCAGCAGUGAGGAAUAUUGGUCAAUGGGCGCGAGCCUGAACCAGCCAAGUAGCGUGAAGGAAGACUGCCCUACGGGUUGUAAACUUCUUUUAUAAAAGAAUAAAGUCAGGCACGUGUGCCUGUUUGUAUGUACUUUAUGAAUAAGGAUCGGCUAACUCCGUGCCAGCAGCCGCGGUAAUACGGAGGAUCUAGCGUUAUCUGGAUUUAGUGGGUUUAAAGGGAGCGUAGAUGGGUUGUUAAGUCAGUUGUGAAAGUUUGCGGGUCAACCGUAAAAUUGCAAUUGAUACUGGCAGCCUUGAGUACAGUUGAGGUAGGCGGAAUGCGUGGUGUAGCGGUGAAAUGCUUAGAUAUCACGAAGAACUCCGAUUGCGAAGGCAGCUUACUAAACUGCCACUGACAUUGAUGCUCGAAAGUGUGGGUAUCAAACAGGAUUAGAUACCCUUGUAGUC